GAUGAACGCUGGCGGCGUGCCUAAUACAUGCAAGUCGAGCGAACAGACGAGGAGCUUGCUCCUUCGACGUUAGCGGCGGACGGGUGAGUAACACGUAGGUAACCUACCUAUAAGACUGUGAUAACUUCGGGAAACCGGAGCUAAUACCGUAUAAUAUUUCGAACCGCAUGGUUCGAUAGUGAAAGAUGGCUUUGCUAUCACUGAUAGAUGGACCUGCGCCGUAUUAGCUAGUUGGUAAGGUAACGGCUUACCAAGGCAACGAUACGUAGCCGACCUGAGAGGGUGAUCGGCCACACUGGAACUGAGACACGGUCCAGACUCCUACGGGCGGGCGCAGUAGCGAAUCUUACGCAAUGGGCGAUAGCCUGACGGAGCAACGCCGCGUGAGUGAUGACGGUCCUCGGAUCGUAAACCUCUGUUAUUCGGGCAGAACAAACGUGUAAGUAACUGUGCACGUCUUGACGGUACCUAGUCAGAAAGCCACGGCUACCUCAGUG
rnacentral:rRNA from 1 species